CCUACGGGUGGCAGCAGUGAGGAAUAUUGGUCAAUGGGCGCGACCCUGAACCAGCCACGUCGCGUGAGUGAUGACUUCCCUACGUGUUGUAAACUUCUUUUAUAGAGGAAUAAAGUGAGGCACGUGUGUCUGUUUCUCUGUACUAUUUCAAUCAGGCUCGGCUAACGACGUGCCAGCAGCCGCGGUAAUACGGAGGAUCCGAGCGUUAUCCGGACUUAUUGGGUUUAAAGGGAGCGUAGAUGGGUUGUUAAGUCAGUUGUGAAAGUUUGCGGCUCAACCGUAAAAUUGCAAUUGAUACUGGCAGUCUUGAGUGCAGUUGAGGUAGGCGGAAUUCGUGGUGUAGCGGUGAAAUGCUUAGAUAUUACGAAGAACUCCGAUUGCGAAGGCAGCUUACUAAACUGCCACUGACAUUGAUGCUCGAAAGUGUGGGUAUCUAACAGGAUUAGAUACCCCUGUAGUC
rnacentral:rRNA from 1 species